rnacentral:lncRNA from 1 species
GCUGGUUACAUGAGCGGGACUUCUCAAAUUUUAAAUUUCAUCUUCAGUCGUUCUCUCUCUAUAUUCAUAUCUAGGGGAUUACAUAAAAUAGAAGAAAGGAUCUAGAUGAAACCCUAAAGUCUUCUGCUCGUUCUCUCUCUAAGUUCACUAGCUACAACAAAUCGAUAGGUGAUUUGUAAAUCGAUAACUUGUUUUGAUUUGUGUUGCCGCAGAUUAAAAUGGUUAAAGUGGCAGUCUUCUUGUUUGCUGUCAGCGUUGGUUGUUUACGGUGGUUUUGGCAAAGCUCCGGCGGUGGUUUAUAUACAUGGUGGUCACCGGAAUUUAACCUUCCUUCUGUUUAAAGAUUUUGAAGAUUACAGAGAUUUUUACGUUUUGGUUCAGAGCUCUGUAGGUUCUGUUGGGAUCCACUCCACUGGAGUUGAUAUGUGGUUUAUUGUUUGAGUGAUGGUUGGUGCAAGUUGAGAAUGAGUACGGAUCUAUAGGAAAGGCGUAUGGAGGUGCGGCUACAACUACAUGACUUAGGCUGCAAACAUGGCGGUUAAAUUGGACACCCCAUUCGUAAUGUGCAAGCAAGAUAGUACUCACAACCAAAUGUUCCAUUUUUUGCUCUACACAUUUGCAGAGAAUUUGAAAUCAUCCACGGGAUGAGACGAGACGAGAAAACAGUGGGUUAGCAUACCUUCUUUUCUUGGCGAAUAGAGAGUUUUCGAUUAUCUGUUGAAAAGGUAAAAGCUGGCGUGGAAACUCAAGUUGAUUUCGUUAAGUCACUUGCUUUUGAAGCCUGUGUUGCUUUCUUUACAGACAUACAAGAUUGCGGCCUUUGUGAACUGGCUACACGGAGAACUCUCCUUCUUGGUUGAUGAGAGGGCAGUAUUGAAGCACUUUGAAGCACUUUGACUUGCCAGAAGGGAAAGCAGGUGCACUAAGAAAAGCAAGCUUUGAAUAUCAAGACCUGAACUAUGUAUCCAAACACGUAACUUUGUUGAUGAUUCAAAUCACUCCUAUGAAUAUGCUUUAAAGAAUGUACAAGUUGCUGUAUGUAUCCAAACACUUGAUAUUUAGUUUUAAAUAUCUUUUUUAUGAUCGUUAUAAUCAUUAACAUGAAUUAUAAAAACAAUUAACAAUUAAUG